UACGUAGGUGGCAAGCGUUAUCCGGAAUUACUGGGUGUAAAGGGCGCGCAGGCGGCCCUGCAAGUCGGAUGUGAAAGAUCAAGGCUCAACCUUGACAGGCCAUUCGAAACUGUGGGACUUGAGUGUCAGAGAGGAAAGCGGAAUUCCUAGUGUAGCGGUGAAAUGCGUAGAUAUUAGGAGGAACACCAGUGGCGAAGGCGGCUUUCUGGACUGAUACUGACGCUGAGGAACGAAAGCGUGGGGAGCAAACAGGAUUAGAUACCCCU
rnacentral:rRNA from 1 species